rnacentral:tRNA from 1 species
GCCUCCGUAGCUCAAUUGGUAGAGCAGCGGACUCUUAAUCCGUUGGUUCGGGGUUCGAGUCCCUGCGGGGGCA